CUGCAGCAGAAGAAUUAUCACCACCUUCCAGCCUUCAAUGCCUCUUCACUUCUUCUCACUGACUCCUAAGUGAAUGCAAUAUUUUAUAAGUUUUAUUAAGGCAGCAUUACUACAGGGAACAAUGUCUACAUUCGUUAGUCUACAGACUAGUGGUUCUCAAACAGAAACACAUUUAUUCCACAGGGGACAUUUGCCAAAGUCCAGAGACAUUUUUGCUUGUCACGACCAGAAGAAUGCCAUAGGGGUCUAGUGGUAGUGGCUAAUGAUGCUACAAAACACCGUAAAAUACACAUGACAGCUUUUUACUACAAAAACAUAUUCAGCCUCAAAUGUCAAUUGUAUUAAGGUUGAGAAAUCUUGUUCUAGAAACUACUAUAAUAAAAAUACUUAAAAAUAUAGCUUCUCAAGCAACAUAGCAAUUUUACUUUCUUAAGGUAACUUUCCAAGGUGGUUAGGGAUAAGCAGACAUUUCUUGAGCUCAUCCAAGGACCUAAUAGAGCAAAAAUGUCUCUGUCAUUAUCUGUACUUGAUUUUCAUCUCUAGGAGCAGGAGGAUCAAUUCAGUCGUUGACAUUUUCCAACCUACUGUGCAGGGAAAGGGGAAUUCAGAGAAAACAUCGUCUUCUUAAAGAGGAACACUGGAAGUCACAGAUAUCAAUUUUGUUUAUAUCAUCUCAGCCUGCACUUCAUAAUAUGAUCACAUCUAAGUGAAAGGGAACCUGGACAAUAAUGUUCUAUAACUGAGUCAUCAUGGGCCCCAUUAAAACUGUUACUGAAAGGAAGAAUAACAAAGGGUGAAGUUAAGACAAUAUCAAAAAGAAGAACCUAUGACAAUUUCACAAUACCCCAGUAGAUCCAUGGAGAAAAUGCUUUCAUAGAUGAUUUACCCUAAGAGAAAGGAGACCAUUUAGAGAACAAGCACGCUUCAUUUAAAAAAUUAUGAAAGAAGAAAAAUGAAUAUAGAAGAUGAUCACAUGAGAUAGAAAAUAAACUGACAAGAAUUAUAAAAAUACAUGACAAAUUCAAGUACUGCCAGUACAAAAUAUUAAGUGGUGUAGACAUAAAUAAAAGACUUGAAAGUGCACGGGAAAAAAAUCAGUGAAUAAGCAUAUUGAAAAAAUAACAUAACACAAUGAAGUCUUAGAAAAAGAUGUUUGUGGAGCAAUAUACAGUCAUGUGCCCAGUAACAACAUUUCACUCAACAACAGGCUGCGUGUACAACAGUGGACCCAUAAGAUCAUAGUUGAGUUGGAAAAUUUCUAUUACCUAGUGAUGCCUCAAUGAUCCUGACCCUCUGUAGGCCCAGGCUAAGAUUUCCUGAUGAUGUCUCUCACUGGCAGAGUCUUGUUUUCUGGCAAAUAGAAAGCCAGAAAACAAGAGAACUUCUGAGGAAUCAGAUCCAGGAGUGCAAACGAGAUGGAAAUAUAGAACUUUUCACCUCUUCCUCAGUGAAAUCACACAAAGUAUGCAGUGGAGACACCAAUUAAUGAGAGUGGCCACAAAGCUGUCUCUCCUGAAAGUGGUAAAGGUGAAGAUGGGACAAAUUCAUUACAAAUCAAUAUUUUACAGUAGGUGUUUCAAAAUAAAUCUUAUAUAUUUAAUCUGAAGAUUAUUACGUAGAUGA
rnacentral:lncRNA from 1 species